rnacentral:tRNA from 1 species
GGGGAAAUAGUUAAAUGGUAUAACAGCGGUCUCCAAAACCGUUAUUGAGAGUUCGAUUCUUUCUUUCCCCG